GGAGCAGCCCAGAGCCUGAAUCAGUAUGUGUGUUAGUGGAAGCGUCUGGAAAGGCGCGCGAUACAGGGUGACAGCCCCGUACACAAAAAUGCACAUGCUGUGAGCUCGAUGAGUAGGGCGGGACACGUGGUAUCCUGUCUGAAUAUGGGGGGACCAUCCUCCAAGGCUAAAUACUCCUGACUGACCGAUAGUGAACCAGUACCGUGAGGGAAAGGCGAAAAGAACCCCGGCGAGGGGAGUGAAAAAGAACCUGAAACCGUGUACGUACAAGCAGUGGGAGCACGCUUAGGCGUGUGACUGCGUACCUUUUGUAUAAUGGGUCAGCGACUUAUAUUCUGUAGCAAGGUUAACCGAAUAGGGGAGCCGAAGGGAAACCGAGUCUUAACUGGGCGUUAAGUUGCAGGGUAUAGACCCGAAACCCGGUGAUCUAGCCAUGGGCAGGUUGAAGGUUGGGUAACACUAACUGGAGGACCGAACCGACUAAUGUUGAAAAAUUAGCGGAUGACUUGUGGCUGGGGGUGAAAGGCCAAUCAAACCGGGAGAUAGCUGGUUCUCCCCGAAAGCUAUUUAGGUAGCGCCUCGUGAAUUCAUCUCCGGGGGUAGAGCACUGUUUCGGCAAGGGGGUCAUCCCGACUUACCAACCCGAUGCAAACUGCGAAUACCGGAGAAUGUUAUCACGGGAGACACACGGCGGGUGCUAACGUCCGUCGUGAAGAGGGAAACAACCCAGACCGCCAGCUAAGGUCCCAAAGUCAUGGUUAAGUGGGAAACGAUGUGGGAAGGCCCAGACAGCCAGGAUGUUGGCUUAGAAGCAGCCAUCAUUUAAAGAAAGCGUAAUAGCUCACUGGUCGAGUCGGCCUGCGCGGAAGAUGUAACGGGGCUAAACCAUGCACCGAAGCUGCGGCAGCGACGCUGAUGCGUUGUUGGGUAGGGGAGCGUU
rnacentral:rRNA from 1 species